UGCCAGCCGCCGCGGUAAUACGGAGGGUGCAAGCGUUAAUCGGAAUUACUGGGCGUAAAGAGUUCGUAGGCGGGAUAGUAAGUAGAUUGUUAAAUUCUUGGGCUCAACCUGAGGUCUGCAGUCUAAACUGCUAUUCUUGAGUUUCAGAGAGGGUGGUGGAAUUGCUGGUGUAGGAGUGACAUCCGUAGAGAUCAGCAGGAACAUCGGAGGCGAAGGCGACUGCCUGGCUGAACACUGACGCUGAGGAACGAAAGCAUGGGGAGCAAACAGGAUUAGAUA
rnacentral:rRNA from 1 species